rnacentral:tRNA from 1 species
CCUCCUUUAAAGAAACCGGAAUAAGGCGUGAAAGCGCCCGCACAAUCUGCCUAAUCGCCGUAAAGAAUAGACCGCGGGUCUGUAGCUCAGUUGGUUAGGGCGCACCCCUGAUAAGGGUGAGGUCGGAAGUUCAAAUCUCCCCAGACCCACCACCUUUGCGCGUGUAGGAGUAAAAAAAGGUAACAAGGGGCCAUAGCUCAGAUGGGAGAGCACCUGCUUUGCAAGCAGGGGGUCGGCGGUUCGAUCCCGCCUGGCUCCACCAGGCGCUAAACCACGGCGGCCAUUUCCCGCCGUGGUUUAUCUCCUGGCCGAGGCGCCACGGGNACGUUCUUUUNACAAUUUANGUAGUAGUGAUGUACGACGGUGAAA